rnacentral:ncRNA from 1 species
GGCCUGAUAAGACGCGACAAGCGUCGCAUCAGGCAUUAUGCGCCGACUGCCGGAUGCGGCGUGAACGCCUUAUCCGGCC